CUGAAAAGAAAAGCCCUUCCAAAAAAACCCUUUUCGAAAGAACCAGGUACUCCGUGACCCCAGCAAUCCGGAGCACAUCGCCGGUGCUCCCUGUUCCGGCAUACUAACCUUACCCCUUUUUAAUUCACAAACCCUAACCUAACACCCACCACACUCCCCUCCUUUCCCCUCACAACAGCACCGCAGCCCCACUCCCCCUUUUCCCCUCUCCAGCGCACACAACACAAUACACUCACGCACCACCUCACCCACGCGGAAAAGGAGACCUCGAGGAAGGAGACGCCGCCUUGCUGCCAGCUCCGUCGAAGACCAGCCCGCCGCCGCUGUCGAGUCAAACCCGAGAAAGAGAGUGUGUGCGACGAUGAGAGAGGAGGAGCCGUCACCAAACGCGUCGCCACCGCUGGAGGAGCUUCGCUCUUCACCGUCGCCGAGGAGGGGAAAGAGGAGCUGCUCCCGUCGCGCCAGUCACCGUCGUGCUUCCUGAUUGUCGAUGAAGGAGCCGCGAGAACCGUUGCCGUCGCGGAGGAGGGGGACGCGCGAGAGGGAGCCGUCAGUGUGGUCGCCGUCGCAGCUGUUGAGUAAAUCUUCGUGCUUUUUCAGAAAUCCAAGGAAAUCAAGUUCUGGGUUGAUUCUUUUCUUGUUCAGUAAGAUGAGUUCUCAGGAAAAGUCUCUGACUUUGGGUGGAAAUGAACAACAACAUGUUGAUGCUGAUGCUGAUGCAGCAGCUUCUUGCAGAAGAACAGUUUCUCUGCCAGCUCAAAAGUUAUGGUUGCAAAGUCGUCGUGCUGCCGUCUCCCUCUCCUUCACUCAUCGCACCUCCGUUUCCAUCUCUCAACCCUCCUCCUCGCCACCGUUGGAGAUCUACAUGGAGAUAUUAAGCAGGCUAGAUAUGCACUUCAAAUGGCUGGUGUAUUGAGCUCUGAUGGUCAAAACGGUGUUGAUUCAAGUUGGAGAUAUACUAGAUCGAGAUGAAGAAGAAAUUGCUAUCUUGUCCUUGUUGCGAUCUUUGGAUAAACAGGCAAAGGCAAAAGGUGGAGCUGUGUUUCAGACUCCAGAAGGAAUUAACGGCUCUCAUGGGCAGUGCUGAAUAAUUUGGCUUACAAUGAUGAUCAGUAAUCAUGAAGUUUUAUAUUUUGUAAUGAAGUGUAAAGGAAGUAGAUAAUGUAACCCAUGUUGGAAUUGUAAUUCAUGUAUUAGGAAAUUGCUAGUGAUGGAGACUUUGAUUUUUGGUAUUUUGUUAGAGUAUAUCAUGUGAUCAAACACUUUUUUUCUGUGACAAGUUUAUGAAGCAAUGAUUAGUUGAUUUAAAAUUUGUAGUCAUUUUUUAAAUUUUAAAAUUAUCUAUGAUUUUGUAAGGUUUAUAAAAAAAAGAGUGCCAAUAGGUACUGAACUAACUUAUAGCCACGCUUUAAAAGAGCGGCUAUAUUGUACAGCAACAAUCUACACUUAAAGCAUGGCUGUAAUUUAGUUCCGUACUUAUUGGCACGCUUUUAAAGCGUAGCCAUAUCUCCACUUGUCGCCACGCUUUGAAAGCGUGGCGAUAAACGUUACAGUGGGUAUUAACAGCCACGCUUUAAAAGCGUCGCUGUA